rnacentral:lncRNA from 1 species
UGGGGAUUCACUCCCAGAGAGGCCUAGUUAGUUCAUCAGUACAUCCUGUGUCUUAACCUUCUCUGGCAGGGGUUGAGUUAAAACUUUGCUAGUAUAUGUGAAUUUUUUUUAACAAAAAUCUCACAUCAGCAAAUAAUCAAUUUGAAAUCAUCUCUAAAAAAGAUUUCUCAGCUAAAGAGUGACAGGGGCACUCAUAAGGCCUGCUUUCUUCCUGGGAUUGAGAGACAACAGCUCUGAGUUAAAAAAAGGUGGUUUCCAGGAAGUCCAACCCUUGAAUAUCUCACUUACAUCCCCCACCCUCAGCUGCAGGAGCACUACACUGGGGAUAUUAUUGCCGAGAAGAGAAUCAGAGAAGAAUGAAUGGAGUGGACAGCUGGAUACACAGGUAGCAAC